CGCCAGUCCCCCUUCAGCCUUCCCGCCCUCGCGACCCGAACCAAUGGGGCCGUCUCCGGCUCUUGAGUGAUGGCGGUAUGAACCAAUAGGAGCACGGGUUCGCCACCGCCCCAAGCCUCACUGUCUGGGUCCUGUUUGCGUGCUGCCCUCUGCCGCCUUGUCGAGGCAGGAUGAGGAGAGGAGUGGGGAAACAGGCCUGUCUGAAGCGUGUUCACCAGACCGUGCCUCUGCGUGCGCCACCAAACCUGUCGAUGAGGUGAAUGCCUGUGACGGCGAGCCCUGCGCACUGAGGCUGUGGGUCGGAUGCAGGGGAGGCUGAAGUGUGGUGGUUGUGCUUCACGCAACUCGGUGUGGCUCAUAGCAGAACAGACUUGAUCUACUACUGCAGUGUGACAGGGUGGGCUGCACUACCAGAACUGCGUGGAACUCCAGGCAUCUGCCUCUAACUUGCUAGGAAGGAUGCAGCUCUCAUCCUGAAGUCCCACCUCAGCAGCACUGUGGAAAUCUCCCCUGGAAAAUACCGCAAAUUUUGACGCUCUCCAGGGACCAGUCAGCCCUCUGUGCUAAGGAGGACCUCGUGGUUGAGAGCUGAGGGACCUCUGCAUCGCAGGAUGGCUGUGAGAGCUUUUGCUGGGCAGAAACACCCUCGAAUUUGUUCCUCAUUGCUGUAAGAAAGUGCUGUUGGUGCCGCAA